UACGAAGGGGGCUAGCGUUGCUCGGAAUCACUGGGCGUAAAGGGCGCGUAGGCGGCGUUUUAAGUCGGGGGUGAAAGCCUGUGGCUCAACCACAGAAUGGCCUUCGAUACUGGGACGCUUGAGUAUGGUAGAGGUUGGUGGAACUGCGAGUGUAUAGGUGAAAUUCGUAGAUAUUCGCAAGAACACCAGUGGCGAAGGCGGCUCACUGGCCCGGUACUGACGCUGAGGUGCGAAAGCGUGGGGAGCAAACAGG
rnacentral:rRNA from 1 species